rnacentral:rRNA from 1 species
CCAAUAGCGUAUAUUAAAGUUGUUGCAGUUAAAAAGCUCGUAGUUGAAUUUCGGGAUUAGUACGCUGGUCGUGCCUUCGGUACGUACUGGUGUUACUGAUUCCUACCUUCUGACGAACCAUCAUGUCAUUAAUUUGAUGUGGCGGGGAAUCAGGACUGUUACUUUGAAAAAAUUAGAGUGUUUAAAGCAGGCUCGCGCUUGAAUACAUUAUCAUGGAAUAAUGAAAUAGGACGUUCGAUCCUAUUUUGUUGGUUUCUAGGAUUGACGUAAUGAUUAAUAGGGAUAGUUGGGGGCAUUAGUAUUCAAUUGUCAGAGGUGAAAUUCUUGGAUUUAUUGAAGACUAACUACUGCGAAAGCAUUUGCCAAGGAUGUUUUCAUUAAUCAAGAACGAAAGUUAGGGGAUCGAAGACGAUCAGAUACCGUCGUAGUCUUAACCAUAAACUAUGCCGACUAGGGAUCGGAUGAUGUUAUUUUUAAUGACUCAUUCGGCGCCUUACG